rnacentral:misc_RNA from 1 species
CAACCCUUAAGCUUAGCUUAGUGUUGGGAAUCUACUCUGAGUGGUAGCUACCCUGUAGCUACCCUGUAGUUCCUCAAAUUGAACGGCGGAGUUAUAGUUACCUCUGAGCGAAGUAAUACUUAUCAGCUUAGGAAGUGCUAUAAUUUUAGCCGCUAAACCCCCCAAUUUUUAAU